rnacentral:rRNA from 1 species
UCGAACGGGGUUAUAUUGUAGCUUGCUAUGGUAUAACUUAGUGGCAGACGGGUGAGUAAUGUAUAGGAAUCUACCUAGUAGUACGGAAUAAUUUUUGGAAGCGACAACUAAUACCGUAUACGCCCUACAGGGGGAAAGAUUUAUUGCUAUUAGAUGAGCCUAUAUUAGAUUAGCUAGUUGGUAAGGUAAUGGCUUACCAAGGCAAUGAUCUAUAGCUGAUCUGAGAGGAUGAUCAGCCACACUGGAACUGAGAUACGGUCCAGACUCCUACGGGAGGCAGCAGUGGGGAAUAUUGGACAAUGGGCGAAAGCCUGAUCCAGCCAUGCCGCAUGAGUGAAGAAGGCCUUUGGGUUGUAAAGCUCCUUCGGUGAGGAAGAUAAUGACGGUACUCACAGAAGAAGUCCUGGCUAACUCCGUGCCAGCAGCCGCGGUAAUACGGAGAGGGCUAGCGUUAUUCGGAAUUAUUGGGCGUAAAGAGCGCGUAGGCUGGUUAGUAAGUUAAAAGUGAAAUCCCAAAGCUCAACUUUGGAAUUGCUUUUAAAACUGCUAACCUAGAGAUUGAAAGAGGAUAAAGGAAUUCCUAGUGUAGAGGUGAAAUUCGUAAAUAUUAGGAGGAACACCAGUGGCGAAGGCGUCUAUCUGGUUCAAAUCUGACGCUGAGGCGCGAAGGCGUGGGGAGCAAACAGGAUU